CGGUGUUUAACUGGCGUGAUGUGGGACGUCCUACCGGUGGGCUUAGCCUCGCGAGGGGCGGCCCAACUAAUAUCCCGUCGCGGUGCUCUUUACUGAGUGUCGAGUCGGGCCGGUACGUUUACUUUGAACAAAUUAGAGUGCUUAAAGCAGGCUAUCCUCGCCUGAAUACUGCGUGCAUGGAAUAAUGGAAUAGGACCUCGGUUCUAUUUUGUUGGUUUUCGGAACCCCGAGGUAAUGAUUAAUAGGGACAGAUGGGGGCAUUCGUAUUGCGACGUUAGAGGUGAAAUUCUUGGAUCGUCGCAAGACGGACAGAAGCGAAAGCAUUUGCCAAAAAUGUUUUCAUUAAUCAAGAACGAAAGUUAGAGGUUCGAAGGCGAUCAGAUACCGCCCUAGUUCUAACCAUAAACGAUGCCAGCUAGCGAUCCGCCGAAGUUCCUCCGAUGACUCGGCGGGCAGCUUCCGGGAAACCAAAGCUUUUGGGUUCCGGGGGAAGUAUGGUUGCAAAGCUGAAACUUAAAGGAAUUGACGGAAGGGCACCACCAGGAGUGGAGCCUGCGGCUUAAUUUGACUCAACACGGGAAACCUCACCAGGCCCAGACACCGGAAGGAUUGACAGAUUGAUAGCUCUUUCUCGAUUCGGUGGGUGGUGGUGCAUGGCCGUUCUUAGUUGGUGGAGCGAUUUGUCUGGUUAAUUCCGAUAACGAACGAGACUCUAGCCUGCUAAAUAGGCGUACCUUAUGGUAUCGCGAAGGCCCCCGGCUUCGGCCGGUGGGUUUUUACUACCAACGUACAAACAAAUCUUCUUAGAGGGACAGGCGG
rnacentral:rRNA from 1 species